AUUGAACGCUGGCGGCAGGCCUAACACAUGCCAGUCGAACGGUAACAGGAAGAAGCUUGCUUCUUUGCUGACGAGUGGCGGACGGGUGAGUAAUGUCUGGGAAACUGCUUGAUGGAGGGGGAUAACUACUGGAAACGGUAGCUAAUACCGCAUAACGUCGCAAAACCAAAGAGGGGGACCUUCGGGCCUCUUGCCAUCGGAUGUGCCCAGAUGGGAUUAGCUAGUAGGUGGGGUAACGGCUCACCUAGGCGACGAUCCCUAGCUGGUCUGAGAGGAUGACCAGCCACACUGGAACUGAGACACGGUCCAGACUCCUACGGGAGGCAGCAGUGGGGAAUAUUGCACAAUGGGCGCAAGCCUGAUGCAGCCAUGCCGCGUGUAUGAAGAAGGCCUUCGGGUUGUAAAGUACUUUCAGCGGGGAGGAAGGGAGUAAAGUUAAUACCUUUGCUCAUUGACGUUACCCGCAGAAGAAGCACCGGCUAACUCCGUG
rnacentral:rRNA from 1 species